GGAGAGCUGGCCGAGCGGUCGAAGGCGCUUGAUUCGAAAUCAAGUGUACCUCCUGGGUACCGUGGGUUCGAAUCCCACGCUCUCCGCCA
rnacentral:tRNA from 1 species